rnacentral:ncRNA from 1 species
AUAUACCCCCAACGGGGAUCGUGAUGGGUAGGGGAGCGUCGUGUGCCGGGUGAAGCAGCACCGGAAGGUAGUUGUGGACGGUCCACGAGUGAGAAUGCAGGCAUGAGUGGCGAUUCACACGUGAGAAACGUGUGCGCCGAUUGACUAAGGGUUCCUGGGUCAAGCCGAUCUGCCCAGGGUAAGUCGGGACCUAAGGCGAGGCCGACAGGCGUAGUCGAUGGAUAACCGGUUGAUAUUCCGGUACCCGCUGUGAAGCGUCAAAC